rnacentral:rRNA from 1 species
UGUCUUUACUGACGCUGAGGCACGAAAGCGUGGGGAGCAAACAGGAUUAGAUACCCUGGUAGUCCACGCCGUAAACGAUGAGUACUAAGUGUCGGGUUAAACCGGUACUGAAGUUAACACAUUAAGUACUCCGCCUGAGUAGUACGUACGCAAGUAUGAAACUUAAAGGAAUUGACGGGACUCCGCACAAGCGGUGGAUCAUGUUGUUUAAUUCGAAGAUACCCGAAAAACCUUACCAGGUCUUGACAUGUUUUUGCAAAAUGAUAGUAAUAUCGUGGAGGUUACCAGAAACACAGGUGGUGCAUGGUUGUCGUCAGCUCGUGUCGUGAGAUGUUAGGUUAAGUCCUAAAACGAGCGAAACCCUUAUCGUUAGUUGCCAGCACGUUAUGGUGGGGACUUUAACGAGACUGCCAAUGAUAAAUUGGAGGAAGGUGAGGAUCACGUCAAAUCAGCAUGCCCCUUAUGACCUGCAGGAUUGUCGAUACUC